rnacentral:lncRNA from 1 species
CCGCCGCUGACCCGCCGCCUCCGUCUGCCUCCUCCCGGGCUCUGGGCCCAGCGCGCCCAGAUGCCGGGCAGGACCCCUCCGCCCGCUGCUGGAACACCAAUAGCAGCGUUGGAGCCUCUGGGCCGGAGGAACUGGGGCCUCCACCGACACCUGCUUCUUCCCUCACCUCGCAGCCUUCCACACCUGUUGAUCUGACCUCUGCCCCGCUGCCGCCCAGGAGUAACCUAAGGCUUUUGGCCUGAUUCGAGCUCACUCCGUCUAAACCUCUAAAUGCGGUGCGAAAAAAUCCUGGGGAAUGUGCCAUGCAAAGCCUGGGCAUUUCAAGUGCUUUUCUGGAUUCGCAUCAACUCCUCUUUACAGGCAUCUUUAUCCGGAAUUCAGCUCGUCCCAAACCCCACGUGGUGUAGCUCUGCUUGUGUUUUUGAAUCCCGGGGCCUCUUUGAAUCAGAAGCCCUUUGUAUAGAGAUAAGUAUCCUUUAGGCCAGAAUCAGCCUCCAUUUUUUUCGCAGUCCCAUUUCCUACCCGUAAUACUUUCUUCUGAUUUUAAAGCCAUUUGAUAGAGAAGGGACAGGGAACAGAACCUUCGCCCCCCGCCUGAGCAGCUGGUAGACUAGAUAUCUUCCAAACAUUAUCUCAUUUACUUCCCUGGAGUUACAAAUAGGUAGAUUUCAUGUCCGUUGAGGGGUGAGAAAGCUGAAACUUUGAGACUUAAGAAUCCUGGCCGAGGUCAGCCUCCUCCGAAGCUUCAUCUCUUGCCACCACUUUCUGGUGCACACCUAGGACAGAUUUCAAUCCCUGAGAUCCCAGGAUGAAACCUAUGUUUGCCAAAUACCAGCUACUGUGCCAGAAGAGAUCAUGGAACCAGGUGUGGAAAGCUGCUUGAGAAGAGGAGCCAAAACAUCAUAGUUGAACCGUCCUGGAAUAGAAACUCGCCCUGAAUUCUUUCUUGUGUGAAAUCCAAGAGCCCUCUCUUGGGGUUGGAUCGGGACCCUGUUCCUGUAACAAGUCCACAAUGCCAGAGAAUUAAAGAGAACCACAAAGCUGAACCUCAAAAAGUUAGCCUGGCGAGGGGAGGAUGAUGAGAUUUCCCCUGUUGUCACAUAAACAAGGAAGUAAAGGGGGCCCCUUGUGCUCUCAGAACUCCAAGCAUGAAACGAUAGCAAAGGGAAAAACAGCUAAGUGUUUCCUGGCUGAAUUUUAUUUUGCUUUCAGUUUCUGCCAUUUCAGUUCCUGUUAUCGUGCUUUGAGGUGCACUGAACUGCAGCAAACCCAGGGGAUCCAAGGCUACGUUGAAAAGCCUUUGACCACAGUGCAGGGAGCAGAAGACAUUAAUGACGUGAUGUCGACACAGCCCGCACUCAGGAUCCUCCAGGAAAAGAACACAGAGAUAACCCCGGAUCGAUGGUACUUUUUGAAAAUGCUUUAUUGCAAAAGAGUGGCUAGGGUUUUACAAGGGCUAUGAAGAAACAUAUUAAGGUUAAUAAAGCUUUUUAUUGAGUGUUU